rnacentral:lncRNA from 13 species
CUCCUAAGCCAAGCUCCCACAGACACGGAGGGAGACUUGCAGCAGUUGUUUGCUGCUGUGUUACGCAAACACUUGGGGUUCAGUGUUUUCAUAAAGAAAAGACUCUUUGACACAUGUAUGAUGCCAUAAUGUGAGCACAGUGGAUCUCACUCAGCAAAUAUUCAGGUACUACCUUUGCUCAGCCUGUCAUUCAGUGAUGAGCCCAUGACAUGAACUCUGACCGCUGAGAAAUGAUGGGUGUCACUUCCAGACACAACCAGUGAAGGGCUUUGUGCAGCUUCCAACCCCUCUCCCUUGCUGUAGUGGCUCUGGAGGCCUAGAAUCCCAGAAGUUACGGGUAAAACGUAUGGGAGGUGUGCCUGACCAACAUCAAUCCUUGUAUGAUUCGUAAAUUACAUUUUACUCUGGUGUUCGCAGUAAGAAGAAUGAAUGGAAAGAUAAGGCUCAUGUGCAGAUUCACACGCCUGAACUCAAAACUCCAUUCCAUCACCAACAUUCCUCAUUACGGCAUCUCUAAUUUUGGUGAUUUUGACAUAAUGGGUGAAUAAAUCUUGUGUAAUUUAGACAGAGAGAAGCCAGGACGUCUGAAACUGGGACUGUUUGUGGAAAUGAGGUGAGGGCCCUUUUUCUCAGAUUUUGUUCCUGGUCAUAAAGCUGGUGACCCCCCAAGGAAUGGAAUACAUGUCAAAUGUCCUAGUUAAGACAUCAUGAAGUUAUUAUGUUGUAUUUUACAGUAGCCUUCUUGCCUUCCCAUUAAUAUUUAGAUCUGAAUGACUUCAGUGGUAAGUUAUUUUGUAUUGUGUAUAUAGUAGAGCAUAUGAGAUAUUUUUCCAUAUUGAUCCAGGCAUGUUUUU